rnacentral:rRNA from 1 species
CCUACGGGAGGCUGCAGUGGGGAAUAUUGCACAAUGGGGGAAACCCUGAUGCAGCGACGCCGCGUGAGUGAAGAAGUAUUUCGGUAUGUAAAGCUCUAUCAGCAGGGAAGAAAAUGACGGUACCUGACUAAGAAGCCCCGGCUAACUACGUGCCAGCAGCCGCGGUAAUACGUAGGGGGCAAGCGUUAUCCGGAUUUACUGGGUGUAAAGGGAGCGUAGACGGCGGAACAAGUCAGAAGUGAAAACCCGGGGCUCAACCCUGGGAGUGCUUUUGAAACUGUGCGGCUAGAGUGCGGGAGGGGCAGGCGGAAUUCCUGGUGUAGCGGUGAAAUGCGUAGAUAUCAGGAGGAACACCGGCGGCGAAGGCGGCCUGCUGGACCGCGACUGACGUUGAGGCUCGAAAGCGUGGGGAGCGAACAGGAUUAGAUACCCGUGUAGUC